CCUACGGGAGGCAGCAGUGAGGAAUAUUGGUCAAUGGGCGGGAGCCUGAACCAGCCAAGCCGCGUGAGGGAAGAAGGUACAGCGUAUCGUAAACCUCUUUUGCACGGGGAUAACACCCUCCACUUGUGGAGGUCUGCAGGUACCGUGCGAAUAAGGGCCGGCUAAUUCCGUGCCAGCAGCCGCGGUAAUACGGAAGGCCCGAGCGUUAUCCGGAUUCAUUGGGCUUAAAGGGAGCGUAGGCGGGCGUUCAAGUCAGCUGUAAAAUCGCGCGGCUCAACCGCGCCCCGCAGUUGAAACUGGACGCCUUGAGUUCACAACAGGCAGGCGGAAUUCGUGGUGUAGCGGUGAAAUGCAUAGAUAUCACGAGGAACCCCGAUUGCGAAGGCAGCCUGCCGGGGUGCGACUGACGCUGAGGCUCGAAGGUGCGGGUAUCAAACAGGAUUAGAUACCCUUGUAGUC
rnacentral:rRNA from 1 species